rnacentral:rRNA from 1 species
UACAGAGGGUGCGAGCGUUAAUCGGAAUUAUUGGGCGUAAAGCGUGCGUAGGCGGAUGAAUAAGUCGGAUGUGAAAUCCCUGGGCUUAACCUAGGAAUUGCGUCUGAUACUGUUCAUCUAGAGUAUGGUAGAGGGUGACGGAAUUUCCGGUGUAGCGGUGAAAUGCGUAGAUAUCGGAAGGAACAUCAGUGGCGAAGGCGGUUGCCUGGACCGAUACUGACGCUGAGGCACGAAAGCAUGGGUAGCGAACAGG